rnacentral:rRNA from 1 species
AGUGAACGCUGGCGGUAGGCCUAACACAUGCAAGUCGAACGGCAGCACAGUAAGAGCUUGCUCUUACGGGUGGCGAGUGGCGGACGGGUGAGGAAUACAUCGGAAUCUACUUUUUCGUGGGGGAUAACGUAGGGAAACUUACGCUAAUACCGCAUACGACCUACGGGUGAAAGCAGGGGAUCUUCGGACCUUGCGCGAUUGAAUGAGCUGAUGUCGGAUUAGCUAGUUGGCGGGGUAAAGGCCCACCAAGGCGACGAUCCGUAGCUCGUCUGAGAGGAUGACCAGCCACACUGGAACUGAGACACGGUCCAGACUCCUACGGGAGGCAGCAGUGGGGAAUAUUGGACAAUGGGCGCAAGCCUGAUCCAGCCAUACCGCGUGGGUGAAGAAGGCCUUCGGGUUGUAAAGCCCUUUUGUUGGGAAAGAAAAGCAGCAGGUUAAUACCCCGCUGUUCUGACGGUACCCAAAGAAUAAGCACCGGCUAACUUCGUG